rnacentral:miRNA from 1 species
UAGUGCUGCAAUGUAAACAUUGCACUUUCUCUAAAACUGCAAUGUUUUACAUUGCAGCACUA